CGGGGUGUAGCUCAGUUUGGUAGAGCUCUGGCGUUGGGCGCCGGGAGCGUAGGUUCAAUUCCUGCCACCCCGA
rnacentral:tRNA from 2 species